rnacentral:rRNA from 1 species
AGUGAACGCUGGCGGCAGGCCUAACACAUGCAAGUCGAGCGGCAGCGGGUCCCCGCGAGGGGAUGCCGGCGAGCGGCGGACGGGUGAGGAACACAUCGGAAUCUGCCUGGUUGUGGGGGAUAACGUAGGGAAACUUACGCUAAUACCGCAUGCGACCCUGAGUCGACGGACUUGGGGUGAAAGUGAGGGACCUUCGGGCCUCACGCGACCAGAUGAGCCGAUGUCGGAUAGCUAGUUGGCGGGGUAACGGCCCGCCAAGGCGACGAUCCGUAGCUGGUCUGAGAGGAUGAUCAGCCACACUGGGACUGAGACACGGCCCAGACUCCUACGGGAGGCAGCAGUGGGAAUCUUGGACAAUGGGCGCAAGCCUGAUCCAGCCAUGCCGCGUGGGUG